GACCCUAAGGACAAACACCUACGAGAAACAGGGACCCUUAGACACUGUUGUGUAUGCAUUGACUGAGUUCAGCAUGAUGAGGUCAUUAUGCAGAACAGCAUAGAAAUGCUCAAAAAAGUAAAGAGUCUCACAGUUCACUACAGCUUGUUUGUAUAGCUGAAGGAACUGCAAAUACAACUUUUGAAGACAUAAAGUGUGCUACCAUACCCAGAAUCUAUCUCAGCAAUCGCGAUAAGGAAACAACCUACCUGUCCAUCAAUGGAUGACUAAAAAAAAAAAAUGUAUGCUUUCCCUUUCAGUAAAGUGAGUUUAAGCGUACCAUGUUAUAAUCUGGGACCCGCGACCAGGCAGUCAGAGCUGAAAACUGAGAAAGGUUGAAUACCCAGCUACAACGGGAAAGACAUGGUAGAAUCCUGAAGGGAGAUGAACUUCCUUAAGCAUUGAAAUUCCAGUCUUCUGAAAUUGACAUGAAUCAUAGAAUACACCUCAAAAGCAUAGCUGGUCUACAUACCACAACAUGUACUCCCUGGGUGCUCCCAAGAUUCUUCCUAAGCCCCAGAUGUUUGAUCAGUCUCAGACUCUGUUUUCCGUUUCCAGAGAUAACCCUUCUGUCCUUUCAACAAGCUCUCAACGUGCAUAAGGACUGGGAGGGAGUUCCUUGCUGCUCUUGAUGGAAACGAUGAAGAAAACAGGAAGAAUAGCAUAGCAGCUUUUCCCACAGCACAUGCUGCAGGAUGUUGGCUGCAUAGUGGCAUCAAUGAAGACAUAGAUGGGCAGACAGGGAAUACCUCGUGUCCCAGAGUCCUCCGAAGCUUUACGUUGCACUUCACACAGACAGCGCUUCCGAAUGUCAGCUUUGGAAUCCUGCUCCACAUCCUUUGGUUCCGUGUUUAUGGAACACAUUCAACCAACCAAUCUCGAUAUGGAAAAUAAGCUUUUAUAUCCGACACACGUAACUUGUAAACUCUCUCUAUGAAAAUAAAUUUAUGCACUAAAAUGA